rnacentral:rRNA from 1 species
UACGUAGGGUGCGAGCGUUGUCCGGAAUUAUUGGGCGUAAAGAGCUCGUAGGCGGUUUGUCGCGUCUGCUGUGAAACCCGAGGCUCAACCUCGGGCCUGCAGUGGGUACGGGCAGACUAGAGUGCGGUAGGGAGAGUGGAAUUCCGGGUGUAGCGGUGAAAUGCGCAGAUAUCGGGAGGAACACCGGUGGCGAAGGCGGUUCUCUGGGCCUGUACUGACGCUGAGGAGCGAAAGCGUGGGAGCGAACAGG